rnacentral:lncRNA from 1 species
AAGAGAUUUUGCCAUGUUUGCCAGGCUCAUCUUGAAUGCCUGAGAAUAUCUGUUUUCUUUUCUUUUUUCUUUCUUGUUUUUUUUUUUUUUUUUUUUUUUUUUUUUUUUGAGACAGAGUCUCACUCUGUUGCCCAGGCUGGAGUGCAGUGGCGCAGUCUGGGCUCACUGCAAGCUCUGCCUCCCAGGUUCAUGCCAUUCUCCUGCCUCAGCCUCCCAAGUAGCUGGGACUUCAGAUGCCGGCUAAUUUUUUGUAUUUUCAGUAGAGACGGGGUUUCACCGUGUUAGCCAGGAUGGUCUCCAUCUCCUGACCUCGUGAUCUGCCUGCCUCAGCCUCCCAAAGUGCUGGGAUUACAGACAUGAGCCACCGUGCCUGGCCCUGUUUUCUUUUCUUUAAAACUAGGGAUUGCAAAACCUAAUUUGAAGCAAAACUGUGAGAACUAAAUGAAAUAAUAUACACAAAUCACCAACUAUAGUGUCUGACACAUAGAAGAUGCUUAACAACUAGCAUGUUUUACUAUUUAUCAAGAAACAGUAAUAGAAAUAUCAAAGUUUACUGUUAUUAGUCAUUCGGUUUUUAUUUCUUUGUGUUUUUAUUGAACUUUUUUGUAUCUGCAUUUUUUUUCUCUUGGAGACCAAAAUGUAAGCUGCUCAGGGCAAUUUCCAUUUUUGUGUUUUGUUUAUUGUGCCCGAAACAGUGAUGGGUAUAAUAAAUGAGUAUUGAUUGAAUUAAGCUAAAUAAGAUGUUUGGCCUCUGAGUUUAGGCAUCAGGGACUAAUAUUGAAUCUCUAACAUUGUUCAUUGCCUAUGGAACAUCAAUGGGUGUGUGGUUUUUCACCAGUGUUAUUAAACAUAUUUACUGAGUACCCAAUAUGUGGCAAGCCCUGUGCUUGGUACAAGAGGGUAGUGCAAGUCGGAAAGGAUAGAAUUUUCAAAAACUGGUUUAACACUAUGAGAUUAAUUUGUAUAUAUAUAUAUAUAUAUUCUGUUAUUUUUGUUAAUGUACAUAGCAGCACUUUAAUCCAUUUGCUGCAGUUCUGUCAUGUUUUGUAUUAAGACCAAUUUACUUGACAUUGUAUGUGCUUGGCAUUAAAAGCAGGAUAAGAAUUCUAUUUUCAAAAGGGGCAUAGUUAACUGUUGGACUCUCUGCCAAAGUAAUUUUCCCUCCCUUCUUUUAACCUCCCAAGGAGACAAUUGGUUACAUUCUAAGCAGAUGCUUGCUCAGAGAGUGGGCAGCAAGCCGUGGGCAGCCCGCUCGUUUAAUUUUAAGCAAGAUCUUUGUGUUUUUUAUUAUAUUAAUUAGUGUAUUGGCAAGGUUGAAUGGGAUUUUUAAAGCAGCAGGGGUUUUGCUGAUCCCUUAAUUUGCAGUUUGUGAUGGCUCUUUUGUUUUUGUUUUUGUUUAAUUUUUUUUUUCACUCAUUAAACACUCGAAUCUAGCAUUAGCUGUGACUCCCAGUAGUUCUGGAUCUUUAGGGAGUAAUGUAUAAAGACAGAUGGUGGGUAUGAUGAGGACAGCAAAAUGCACUUUCUCUUUGGUACUACCUUGAAAGUGGGCCACUGCCCUAUUUUUUGCUUGUAGACAGGCAUUUAACUAUAGUUAAUAAGCCCGGAGAGAGAAGAUGCUACACUGUAGAUAAUUUUAGUGAUUUUUAAAAAAACUCUUCAACGUUUUAUUCAACCUUUAGAUUAUGCAAAUAAAAAACACCUGUUUUAGACAUCUUGGCCUGGUGAAGAGAAGACUGGAAGAAAUGCAUUGGGAAAGGAUUUAUUUGUGUAAUUGAAUGUUGAGGGAGAUUUUCCUAUUGUCUAUGAGUUAACUACUUGUCUUCUCACCACUGUUGAGGGCAAAGACAUUCCAUAUGUUACCCCAUCUAAUCCUUACCAUAACUAUCUUAGUUAAUAAAUCUCAGUCCAGUCCAGUUUAAUGCUUUAUUCUCAAAUUCAACAUAAAUCUUAUUUCUUUCUCUACUCCCAGUGCAGGCUUGACCCAUGGCUUUGAGGAGAAAACUACAUAGGCAGCUCUUGUAGCCAGCACUUAUCACAGAACAGUUGUAUAAAGGAAAUUGUCUAUAACUUAAAUAUAAAUUUUGUUAAGUAUUCAGAAAGUUUAAUACUGUAGGACUUGGAGUUGGUGGUGUGGUGUGGUGGGGUUGGAAAAUGCAAAGGAGUUCUUACCAAGGAAAAUUUGAGAAUUAAGGAGUGAUGAAUUAGUGAAUAGAUGCUGCUAUGGUAUGAAUGUGUCCCCCAAAGUUCAUGUGUUGGAAACUUAGUUUCCAGUGCAACAGUGUUGAAAGAGAAGAUCUUUAAGAGGAUUAAUGCUGUUAUCACAGGAAUGAGUUAGUCAUCAUGGGAGUAGGUUCUUGAUAAAAUAAUGAGUUCAUCUCCCUCCGCCCUCACCCUCUGUCUAUCUCUCUCUCUUUCCCUGGCCCUUCUGCCUUCCACCAUGGGAUGAUGGAGCAAGAAGGCCCUCACCAGAUGCAGCCCCUCAAUCUUGG